ACAAGUUUUAUAAACUAAAGUGUGCAAUUAAAAAUCAAAGUCACGUGCUUUGUAUUUGGAGGCAAAUUUUCUUGGGAUUUUAAAUCGACCAACAGGCUUUGGUGUAAAUAAAUAACAAAAGUAAAAGAAAUGUGCAGCUAGAUAAACCGGUUAGCAGUUGUUGUGGAUUUUUUUUUUUGUUUUGGUUUUAUUACCUGAACAGCAGCCAAACAAAAAAACAGCAAAUGAGUAAAAAAUAGGAAGCAGUGUCUAAAAUUAUAAAUGCGGCCUAAAACCGGUUGUUAAUCGCCUGCUGUGGACAGGUUUGGAAGAAAUUAACAUAUGAGGAAUGGAGAAAAGAUUGACUGAAAAUAAGCGAGGAGGUGAAAAAACCAUAAACCAACGUUAAAAAAAAAAAAAAAAAAUUGUGUGGGUACUACAAUCUGGUAUUCUGGUGAUUAUUAAAUUGUGCUAUUUGGCGUGUGAAAAGGUAAAGCAAUAUAAGUGAAUAUAGUAAACUCAAAUACUUUUAUAACUAGCAGCAGUAAGAUAUCUUGCAACUUGCCGGCUGUAGAAACAAUUUUACGUCGUUCAACUGUCACUUUGACAACUGCAGCACGUACAACUUUAGAUGCAACAA